rnacentral:rRNA from 1 species
GACGAACCGUGCGAACGUUAUUCGGAAUCACUAGGCUUAAAGCGCGUGUAGGCGGGCCGCCGCGUCGGGCGCUGAAAUCCCCCGGCUCAACCGGGGAACGGGCACCGAUACGGGCGGCCUGGAGGGGGGUAGGGGGGGCCGGAACUCACGGUGGAGCGGUGAAAUGCGUUGAGAUCGUGAGGAACGCCCGUGGCGAAAGCGGGCCCCUGGACCUUUACUGACGCUGAGACGCGAAAGCUAGGGGAGCGAACGGG